GGCUGGUGUCAGGCGGGGCGGCGGCGGCCGCCAGGCAGUUCCAUCUCUCGUAUCUGAACUGGCUCCUGCACUCCUGAAUGCCCAGACGGGCGCCCUCGCAGAUGCUCGGCAGCAGACAACGUAAAAAGGCCAGCCGUAGUAGGGGCUCUCAGCAGCCUUCUCCUCGCGAGCUGGGAGCAGCGUGAGGAAGUUGGGAAAGUAGCUUGGGGCACUCCUCCCGAGACGAGUUGAAGAUGUGCCGGAGAUGCGGGAGCGUCCCUCGCAUUCCAAGGGCACAGAGCUGCCCCGGCCUCUUUCCUUCUCCAAGUUCUCUUUAUCAUCUUAGUGGAGUCCAGCUUUUCCUAACAUUCAUCUCAAGCUGAUGGUUUCUGGCAGUUGGGUCGCUUGUCACCUCCCAGAGAGAAGCAUCUGCCGGACCCCGCCCUCGCACGCCCCUCCAGGCUCUGCCUGGCAGAGACCUCCAGCUACAUUCCCCGCGUGUCCAGACGAGCACCUGGCUGAGGCCUCCGGAGAUGGAGAACCUGUUAUUCUAAAGGCUUUCCACAGCGUUAUAAAUCAAAAUUAAGAGGAAUGUUUCAAAGAAACUAAUACAAUGGCUAAAAGAUGA